CUCCGGUUGAUCCUGCCGGACCCGACUGCUAUCAGAGUGGGACUAAGCCAUGCGAGUCAACAUAGCAAUAUGUGGCAUACGGCUCAGUAACACGUAGUCAACAUGCCCAGGGGACGUGGAUAACCUCGGGAAACUGAGGAUAAACCGCGAUAAGUCACUACUUCUGGAAUGGGUAAUGACUCAAAUCUACAUGGCCCCUGGAUUGGACUGCGGCCGAUCAGGCUGUUGGUGAGGUAAUGGCCCACCAAACCUGUAACCGGUACGGGCUCUGAGAGGAGGAGCCCGGAGAUGGGCACUGAGACAAGGGCCCAGGCCCUAUGGGGCGCAGCAGGCGCGAAACCUCUGCAAUAGGCGAAAGCCUGACAGGGUUACUCUGAGUGAUUUCCGUUAAGGAGAUCUUUUGGCACCUCUAAAAAUGGUGCAGAAUAAGGGGUGGGCAAGUCUGGUGUCAGCCGCCGCGGUAAUACCAGCACCCCGAGUGGUCGGGACGUUUAUUGGGCCUAAAGCAUCCGUAGCCGGUUCUACAAGUCUUCCGUUAAAUCCACCUGCUUAACAGAUGGGCUGCGGAAGAUACUAUAGAGCUAGGAGGCGGGAGAGGCAAGCGGUACUCGAUGGGUAGGGGUAAAAUCCGUUGAUCCAUUGAAGACCACCAGUGGCGAAGGCGGCUUGCCAGAACGCGCUCGACGGUGAGGGAUGAAAGCUGGGGGAGCAAACCGGAUUAGAUACCCGGGUAGUCCCAGCUGUAAACGAUGCAGACUCGGUGAUGAGUUGGCUUCUUGCCAACUCAGUGCCGCAGGGAAGCCGUUAAGUCUGCCGCCUGGGUAGUACGGUCGCAAGACUGAAACUUAAAGGAAUUUGGCGGGGAGCA
rnacentral:rRNA from 1 species